GCGGAGGGGAGGGGGGACGGGGACAAUGCUCCAAGGACGAUGUGCUCAAGGAAAUGUAUGAGACAUGGACCGUGUGCCUUGCAUGCUGGGUGGUACACUGCAGACCUACUUUCAUUUGAUUCAUGAACUUUCCCCUACCUGAGGGCAUGUCACUUCUAAUUGGAUGUGGUUUAAGAAAUCAUUUCACAAGAAUACCGAUUUAAAAAAACAACAACAACAUACUAAAAUGGACCAAUAAACCAGACCAGAGACACGUCUGUCACUGUCAGACGAUUGCCCUGCCACUACACCUAUUUGUUCCCUGAGACUCUUGUGGAUUUCCAGAUUUUCUUGUGCUCGGUGGCUGCAUCUGCAGCCCUUCAUUCAGCAACAAAGCAGGAGCAGGGUGCAGAGCUGUGUUGUGCUGAAAAAAACAAAAGAUAUCCCGGU
rnacentral:lncRNA from 1 species